UUCCUUUGAAUUAGGUUUGUCGCUGAAAGUCAGACGAUUGUUGGACUGCAUUGUCCAGGCGGGUUGGUCGGCAUCGUGUGCUCUAGUUGGGGUCCUCCCCCGGGUGGUUGUUGGACGCUCCCCGGGGAAGCAACAGGGAUUGGUACGCAGAGUGUGUGAUGGCAGGGAGCCGCCGGGGCUAUCCUCCAGCGCUGGAGGACAUCAGCCUCCAGCCGUGCAGUAGACUGGCACGUGAAGGGGAAUUUCACUCCAUUGUGUAAUGAUCCUUCCGCAGGUUCACCUACGGAAA
rnacentral:misc_RNA from 1 species